AGUCUUGGCAUAUGGUACCAGGAAACCGGUAACGAUAAAAUCUUUGUAACUGGACUCUCAUUUCCUAAUCAGGGUACCUGCAUCCUACUAGGCUGUCAACUGACAUCCAGAAUUGGAGUAGGACAGAGUGAUGUUGCAGUGAAAGAAGGGCUCAAGGAGUUUUAAUAAAUGUCGUUUAACAGCUUCUAUCAAAUCAAAAGGAUAGCCAAAUAAGCACUCUCUGAUGCCUUUGAGAAAGUUCCUCUGGCUUCUACCCCACCGUACAAAAUAUUUCUGCAAUAACUGUUUAUUUUAAUGUGAGCAAUUUUAAAAUCUCAGGGCUUCAGUUUUCCCUUUUGUAAAAUGCAGAUCUAUUAUGUCAAUUCUAAGGUUACUGCUUCAGAUGAGUAGGCCUUGUCUAUUGAUUUGUCAGUGUCUGUGCCCAGUCUUCCUGUACUUACUACUGACAUCUGUCAUUGCAGUAGUUGUGCAGUCAUCUUUCCUGGCUGCCAGUUGUCAUUAAUUUAAUUUCUGUAUAGAAUCUGUUAAUGCAUUUUUAGUUAAAAUGAACAAAGUGAAUGAGUUAAAUUGAAGAAGCCACAGCAGUCUGAGUAUGUGUUCAUAACUCAUGGUAUCUUACCUACCUCUAAGGAAACAGUAGAAUUUUAUCUGUGCAUAUAGACAUGGCCUUUUAUGAAAAUCUUACUACCUACAUACUCAAAAGCCCAAUAAUGGAAAGAACUAGCAAGAGUAAAAUUGAGAAUUGUCCAAAGGAUUUGCUUGACAUUUAUCAACUCCCUCUCGUGCAAUCUGGAGUGCUACUGCUGCUUCAACAAGGGAUGGCUUUCUUCUUUCCCAUUUCCCACAAAUGGUGCUAAGUGUAGAGAUUUAGAUCAAAUUCGUUUCUCUUUGGUUAUUUGGUAGACUUUUUCCCCUAAUAAAUACUUUUUUUGAAAGUACAGGAAUUAAAUGAGAUUAAUACAUGUGGAAGUACUUUAUAAACUGGAAAAUACUCAAUACAUUUCCCCAAAUUGUUCCAUGAACCACUAGUUUCCAAAACUUUUAGUGGUUUGAUAAGAAGGUUUUGGGUCAACUGAGCUUGAGAAACACUGGGUUAAAUAAAGUUAAUGUUUUUGUUUGUUUUUUAAAGCAGGACUUCUCAGGAGUCUUUCAUAAGGUAAAGGGCAUUGUUUUUCUCCAAGUGUUUUCCUUAUUUCUUUUACCAUAGAACCUUUUUUUCUUGGGACAUCUAAUGAGAUGAGUGUUGGGAGGAACACAGAAUAAGAGGUGAAUUUAAACCAUAUUGUCUGUUAUUCGAAUCUAGAGCCCAAGAUUUCUUUCUUUGGAACAUAGUCUUGAAAUUAUGUAAGAAGUUGACAUUUUCUGACACUAACAUAUUAUGCAACAUGAUAUAUAGUUGUCUCUAUUAUGAGAUAGUGACAAAUUUUUAAUUCACUGAAAAAAAGUAAAUAUUUGGAGCUAUAACAUUUCAUUAUAUUUAUUUUAAGUGUGUUCACAUAGAGAAAAAUAUUUUUACUUUUGUCAUUAUCUAAUUGAAAUACUCUAGCUUUAGAUAUAGUAAGGGCAUUUAUUGAAAGUCUUUCAUAUAUUUGUGAAAAGAUUCCUUUAUUGAAAAAGUCUUUCAUAUAUUUGUGAAAAGAUUCCUUAUUUAUAGUCUGGUGCUUAUUAUAUAUGGAAAAAAUGAUGUACUCUUUCAUUAUGGUGAAGUUCUGUUUAUUUUGAAAGAGAUCUACAGGAGAUAACUUGGGUAAAUGAUUUCAAUAUUGCAACUGAAGACUGCAUUUUUUAUAGGACAUCAUAUCCUUCCUGGCCAAAACUAUUCCAGCAUGAAGGCAUAACAUUCAGUGCCAGCAGAAUUUUCUUGGCUGGUGUGCAGGAGAGGAUGUUCCUCACCAUUGUAAGCUUUGUACCAGGAUGUCUGUGAAGUUUAUUCCAAAGUCUUCGUGUGUUUAUUUCAUUCACAGAGAUACAAGACCCUGUGUUGGUGUCUCUCCUGCCUGAUCUCCCUUCACCGGUGACCUCCGCU